GACGAACGCUGGCGGCGUGCUUAACACAUGCAAGUCGAACGGAAAGGCCCUGCUUUUGUGGGGUGCUCGAGUGGCGAACGGGUGAGUAACACGUGAGUAACCUGCCCUUGACUUUGGGAUAACUUCAGGAAACUGGGGCUAAUACCGGAUAGGAGCUCCUGCUGCAUGGUGGGGGUUGGAAAGUUUCGGCGGUUGGGGAUGGACUCGCGGCUUAUCAGCUUGUUGGUGGGGUAGUGGCUUACCAAGUCUUUGACGGGUAGCCGGCCUGAGAGGGUGACCGGCCACAUUGGGACUGAGAGACGGCCCAGACUCCUACGGGGGGCAGCAGGGGGGAAUAUUGCACAAUGGGCGGAAGCCUGAUGCAGCAACGCCGCGGGCGGGAUGACGGCCUUCGGGUUGUAAACCGCUUUCGCCUGUGACGAAGCGGGAGUGACGGUAAUGGGUAAAGAAGCACCGGCUAACUACGUG
rnacentral:rRNA from 1 species